AUGAGGAGCUUCUCGUCUGCUCCAACUCCUACUCUCGGUUGUGUCCUUCUAUUCCAGAUUCAGAAAGGUUUUGAAGCUGGUUGAGGCUGUGGAGCCUUUUGCUGCUUGGGCAUUAGGCAACAAUUUAGCACCAAGGUUCUUUGUGAGAAAAAUAUGGGAGCAUAAUAAUUUACCAAUUCGAUGCACUGCUUCUUGAAAGAAAGCAUUUGGUAGCACAUAUCACGAAAGGUUCCAAUGAUGUCAUUUUGGUUAUUCUUAUCCUCCAGAUAAUCAAGUGCCUCAAUUGUAUAUUGCUCACAAAGUGCACCCCCAUCUGUUUUUCUGUUUAGCAUCAAGAUUGUUGUGUCAUCGCUACUCUUUUCAGUGUUUGCAAUCGCAAGUUGUCUUGCGUCACAAGAUCAAGUAGCACAGAAUUAGAAACAAUAGCCCCACUAAUCUUUCUGCCAUGGUGCCUUAUGCAUGCAGUAGAAGAAGAAGAAGAUAGGGCAAUGUGUAUAGGGUGCUACUAUGAGAAGGUGUCAAAGAAAGAUGGUCAUAUUCUUUUGAAUAUUGUACUGGAACACGUAAUGGUUGUUUUAUUAGGUGGUAGUGGUUGUUGUUGAAACUUUUCUAUUGCAGACAUUUCAGAUGAAAUAUUUGGCAUGCUCAAUUGAUGAACCAGAGGAUUAUGUCCUUUUUUAUGUCAAUAAUAUUCUUGCCACAAAUUAUACCUCAAAUUAAACCAAUGCCACAUAGAAAACAAGUCUUUAAUAAGUAAUACCUACUAGACAACCCAUAAUACAUGACACUGUGACACAUUACGUGAAAAUUGGUGAUAUAAGACCAAUUACAUCACUAAUUAUCACACUUCUUAGCUAAUACAAUUUUA